CACCACCUCGAAGGGAUUGACUAAUAGAGCCUCGGUCACACCGGCGAAGAAGCCGGCGCAGGAGAACGUCUGCAAUGAUGCGUACUUGUUUAUUUUCUUCGAACAAUUAGCGAAGAAAAGGCGAUUGUGUCGCGCGAGAGUAGCUAGAGACUGUUGGACCGCACUGUUCAGCAGCGGAGACUCACUUUGACAGCACGCUUGGGGGUCUCUACAAUUAUUGGAGCAGGUGCAAUUCACGACUUGGCAAGCCUGACGCUACGCCAGGUACAUACCUGUAUAAUACAACGGAUCUGACUUGGUCGACUUCACCUGGAGCUGGAAACGCGUCUUAACGAUGUCCAUCGGGUGCAUUAUGCAAAC